CGCGGAAUACUGCGCUGGCAGUUUCUCACUCGUGCAGUAAAGAGGAGGUGUCCCUGCAAAGGAGGAUGGAGUAAAACUUUACGUGGUUAUGAAGCAUGUUAGAUGAUGAAGGUGGACCAGACCGAUGGAUCUGAGUAUUUGUUUUUUAUCUGUUUUGAAGGCAGAAAACCAGACUCCGCUAGUCAUGGAGGGA